GUGAUCAUCCUGUGUGGGAGGGGCAUAUCUGGAGGAGAGAUGGAGGGAAUCCCUAAACCAGUCAUUUCCUGAACCGGCAUCCUCAGCACCUGCGGACUCGUUACAAAUGCAAGUUCUCAGCACCCUCGCCCCAGACCUAUGGAAUCAUUGGCUACACUUCAACAGUAUUGCUGAGAAUUCUAUUUGCACAGCGCCCAGGACUGGGGUCAUGGAUGCCUGGAUGGAAGAAUGACACCCACCCUCACUACUAGUUCAAAUCCAGGCACCCUGUUCCUUCCUGGCCACGUGUAACUCUGUGAGGACAUCGUAGGAACAGACUCUCCUGCCAACAUCCAAAAACCUUGGUGACUCACAGAAUAUGGGAAUCGUAGAAGAGAAGCAUCAAUUCCAAAGCCUGACUAGGAAUUUGCAAUGAAAACAUGGAACUUUUAACAAAUGAGUCAUGGCAGCAUGUAAUGAUGAAUAUUACCAUGAGGACCAUGUGCAGCUGUGAAGCAAAGAUGGUAUGUUCUAGGUUCCUGAAAGCAUUGAAAUGUUCAAAUCAUUAUAUCACUGCGACUCAGAAACAGUAUUCCCAGGAAGCUGAAAUAGUUAUAUUGCGGCUGAGUUGGUGACUCAGUAGAAGGUCUUGCAUCCACACAAACUCUGUCAAAAUAAAAGAAAAUAACUUUUUCUCUUUUUAGCAAACUUUGAUAUACUUUUUUUUUUCCCCUGCCAAAGUACUAAUGCCUGGAACGACCUGCUUUCUUCCUUCUCCCAGUUUGCAGAAAACACAAGGACAAGCACCACUUGAGAGCAGAGGUAGGAAGCACCCAGUUGCUGUGUGGAAGGUUCUGAGCUUCUCACUGACCCCAAAGACCCCCUGACAGCUCUGAGAGAAAGGCCUAGUCUCUCUAGUGCCUGAAACCAAACUUAAAGGGACUGAAAAGCAUCUUAGUCCUUAAACAUAGUUCUGAGUCAUCAGGUCACAAAAUCAUAGAAUCUGGGGUUCAAGAAAUAUUUUAUAAACACUGAAGCUGAAGCUCCAAUAAUUUGGCCCCCUGAGGUGAAGAGCUGACCCAUUGGAAAAGACUCUGUUGCUGGGAAAGAUUGAGGGUGGGAGGAGAAGGAGGCGACAGAGGAUGAGAUGGUUGGAUGACAUCACCGACUNNNNNNNNNUGAGUUUGAGCAAGCUCCAGGAGAUGGUGAAGGACAGGGAAGCCUGGCUUCUGCAGUCCGUGGGGUUGCAAAGAGUCAGACAGGACUUAGCGUCUGAACAACAACAAUUAAUUACAUCACUUUACUGACUUCAAUAGCCGCUAUUCUGAGAGCUAUCUUUGAUUCCUCUCUACAAUUUACCUGGAUUGUCCAGUAAGUCACUGAAUCAAGUUGAUUCCACCUUUUAGUAAUCCAGCCUCCCUCUUCAGCAUCUUUUACUUCUAUUUUGUCCACCAUUGCCACAGCCUCCAAACUGGCCUCACUGCAUCCAGCCUCUGACUUUUAUCUCUGUCCUUAUCCUGCUCCCGGGGAGUUCUUUCUAACCUAUGGUUUUCAGCACAUUCACUCCCUAUUGUAGCUCUAUAUACUGUUAAUUGCAUAAAGCUCAAAUACUGUGUCAUUUCAUAGAAGACACUUUAUGUUGGUCUCCAUGGUGGGUGCUCAUCCAGAUCCCCUCAUCAAGGCUCCUGUAGCCAUCCCCUGGCUGAUGGCCAAUGGCUCACAGCUACAUCCCUUGCUGGACAUUGCCCUGUACCUUGGGAACAGCCUUUCCCAGGGCUGACCGCUCAGAUCCCAGACGGCCCCCCCUAAUGCCCAUUUGCAACAUUAUGGACCUCCUGGUGCCCCU
ensembl:lncRNA